rnacentral:misc_RNA from 1 species
UCUCCGUAGGUGAACCUGCGGAGGGAUCAUUACACAAUAAAAUAUGAAGGCUGUACGCGGCUGUGCUCUCGGGCCAGUUUUGCGGAGGCUGAAUUAUUUAUUACCCUUGUCUUUUGCGCACUUGUUGUUUCCUGGGCGGGUUCGCCCGCCACCAGGACCACAUCAUAAACCUUUUUUAUGCAGUUGCAAUCAGCGUCAGUAUAACAAAUGUAAAUCAUUUACAACUUUCAACAACGGAUCUCUUGGUUCUGGCAUCGAUGAAGAACGCAGC